rnacentral:rRNA from 1 species
GUUAUGGGGUCAAGUGAAUAAGUGCAAGUCGUGGAUGCCUUGGCGAUUACAGGCGAUGAAGGACGUGACAGCCUGCGAAAAGCCUCGGGGAGUCGGCAAGUAGACAGCGAUCCGAGGAUAUCCGAAUGGGGAAACCCGUCCGCAAGGACACUCUGCAGUGAAUACAUAGCGGCAGAGAGCUAACCGGGUGAACUGAAACAUCUCAGUAGCUCGAGGAAAAGACAUCAACCGAGAUUCCGAUAGUAGUGGCGAGCGAAUUCGGACCAGCCAGCACGAUGUGACGUAACCAGCAGCAAAGCCACCUGGAAAGGUGGGCCGUAGAGGGUGAUAGCCCCGUAUGCGAACCGGUUGCGUUGAACUAAGCGUGCGAUAAGUAGGGCGGGACACGUGAAAUCCUGUCUGAAGAUGGGGGGACCAUCCUCCAAGGCUAAAUACUCGUAAUCGACCGAUAGUGAACUAGUACCGUGAGGGAAAGG